AUACCCUAUUAUAUUUAAAUACCUAAGGUAGUAUUAUUCUUUUAAGAAACCUAUGCAAUUUGGCGGCAUUUAAUCAUUUUAGAGGAACCUGCUUUUUAAUCGAUACCCCACGAUAACUCUUACUUCUAUUAACAUUUUAUAUACCUCCAUCUUAAGGGAAUAUAAUUACAUUUUUCCUAAAUAGUAUUUUGAUAAGUUAGGUAAAGGUGUAGACUAUAUAUAAGUUAAAGUGGGUUACUAUAAACCAUAUUUAAGGAUUUUUACUUAAAUUUGAAUUGAAAAAGGAUUUAUUAGUAAACGAAAAAUAUUAUUCUUCUUUGAACUUGAUAAACAAUGUGUACACAUC
rnacentral:rRNA from 1 species